rnacentral:sRNA from 2 species
AUGCUAGGUAAAUAGCUCAUAACUGCUCAUCAUUGUUUAGCUCACAAUCAUUCAAAUGAACUUUUCUGAUUCACUUUGUGAAUAUUGAGAAUGCUGAAUUUGUAGCACUCUUCAAAGUUGAACAUUGAUGUUGAAUCUUUUCAGCUUGCUGAUCACUCAAAUCUUUCUUAAAGUCAUGAAGCUUCUGUGAGCCAUUCUCAUCACUAAUCUUUAGAAGAAGAUCAACUGUUUCCCUGAGAAUCAAGUAGAUAUUUCAAUUGAAAGAAGAAUAUAUAUUUCCAAAAAGAUACCAAUCUAAGAUGUUUUAGAUUGUGAAAUUGCCCCGCAAUAAGUGCAUAUCAGAGGGUGGAAGUAAUCCAGCCA